rnacentral:rRNA from 1 species
CAGUCGCCGCGGUAAUACGUAGGUGGCAAGCGUUGUCCGGAAUUAUUGGGCGUAAAGGGCUCGCAGGCGGUUUCUUAAGUCUGAUGUGAAAGCCCCCGGCUCAACCGGGGAGGGUCAUUGGAGACUGGGAAACUUGAGUGCAGAAGAGGAGAGUGGAAUUCCACGUGUAGCGGUGAAAUGCGUAGAGAUGUGGAGGAACACCAGUGGCGAAGGCGACUCUCUGGUCUGUAACUGACGCUGAGGAGCGAAAGCGUGGGGAGCGAACAGGAUUAGAUACCCGUGUAGUCCCUGUCUCUUAUAC